rnacentral:lncRNA from 10 species
GGAGAAAUAUGUGCUACUCUGAGCGAUUAAGGAGGCAUACUGAUUUAGUCUUGACCUCUCAAGACUAAGGCUUCUUUAAGACAGAGACACUUCAUCUGCUGCAAAAGGGCUCUCCAUAGAAAUCUCAAGGACACAACUUUUCCCCCCAUCUUGUGGAAGGAUGACAUUUUCUGAUAUUUGCUUCAAACUCUGAGUGAGACCCUAUGCAGGUCCCACAGGUUAUUUUAAUCUAUCUUCCUCACUGACACAAGUUCUAUUGGGGCUGAGACCAGAGAAGACAAUGUGAGACCCUGCAUCCAACAGUAUUCCUUUUAGAAACUAUGCCCAGACUGAGUGGGUGCAUUUUUGUUCUAAUACUUUUUCUCUUCUGUAGUUUACACAGUAGGAGAUAAUCUUUGAUAUGGCAACUAUGUCAUUCCCCUCAGUGUGCCCAACAACUCACAUCUCAUAGCUGCAAUAGGUCAGAGACAAAUUCCAUUAUGGAGUAAGGAGACAGUCUUCUAAAGGUGCAUUGCAUGUAGUGAGGUAUAGACAUAGCAAGCAAUGAAUGUUACAUCCCAGGAGCAGAGUCUGAGAGAAGACGGGUAGUCGUAAAUCCUGAAAUUACAACAAUUCCAUGUAAUUCAUCAGCUUCUGAGUAUCUCUCAAGUGACAUUUAUUAGUAGAAAGCUUUGUAGAACAGAGCGGUAUGCUGGCUAGCCAAGUUGAUUGCACUUCGAGGGUGAGUGGAUUCCUGAAUCCCCUAUUUAGAUAUAGGGCUAGAACAAGAUUGAGGAGCCAGUGUGAAUAUUUUCAUCUGGCAUUUCUUUUCUCUACUGAGUGAAUUCCUUUCUCCAACUCCCAGAACAUUGUUCAAUGAGGUAAUAAAAACUACAAUUCCAGAAAUUGUAGUUGGAUACUACUUUGAUAAUAAUAUCAUUUGAAUCUUAGCCUUUAUUUACAACACUUCAUUUAUAGGCACUAUAGUUCCCAGAAUGCACCAGCAACGUCAGUUUCCUUUACCCCACAAUUUUGCUUCAAUAUUUUUUUGGAAUUUGCAUUUUUUACCCAUAUGUUAAAAAUACCUGUCUGGAUGAAGGAAAAUUGAAUCUGUGUUCAGCCUAUAUUACAAAGCACCAUUUUCUGUACUAAGGGUUGGACUGUAUCCCAGAUUUCUAGUUGGACUCAUGUCUGAAUCAAGCAGCAAAUGGUUAAGAAGGCACUCAUUUUUUUCCCCUACGGUUUUGAAGUUGGUCUAUUUUUCAUACAGUUAAAGUGGGGUUUUCCUUUGACAGAAGCCUUAGUAGGAUUUUCUCAAGUCAGUUUUCUCUACGUCAAAGUUAGAAUCUAUUAUUCCCAGAGUCUAGCAUUGGUGUAUGUGACUUUAUUUAGAUGACUGUAUUUUCAUGUUUUCCCCAUGCUCUCAUCUGUCUUCAAGGCUGUUUAUCAUUUCUCCUUAUUUUAAACCACAUGCCUCAAAUGCUUUUUGCUCCUACUCUUUCUCCUGCUUUGCUGGAGAGAAAGCAUGCCUGACUUUGUCAUGGUGGAAAUAUCAUAAUUCUUGCAGUUUAUGUGAACUGUGAUUAUUAGCGAUUGAAAUGUUGCUAUGCUUAGGAAGAUAGUAAAGGUAGAGUGAGAUCCUCUCAAAAACAAGACAAAAUGAAGGAUUGUUAGGGCCAUUCUUCACCAGUAAGGAUCAUGUAGUGCAUUCUCCAUCAUCUAGGGCCAUUCUGAGGACUGUAAUGAUACUGAAGGGUGACAUGACAUGCAUCUUUAUCUGCCCCCUAAAUGGAGAGAUGGGGUCUGGCAAAGCAGGUGUCAUUCAGGCUUUUCCCCUCAAUGCUCAGAUGCCCAUGUAAGGUUGGGAAAGGCUAUCACAGCCCUGUGGGUAGAAGGUGAAGAGAAGAUGGGACAUGGACUGUGAGGAUAAGAAGGACAUGGGGUGGUGGAGAGAGGAGGGAGUGCUAGGUGUGGGUGGGGAGGAGCUUGCAUUAAUGGAAAGCGGGUGGGAGGACUGGAAGGGGCCUCAGGAUAGAGAGGGGGAAUGGUGUGAGAAUGGAGGGGGAGCCUGGAGAGAAGGGGACUCAUGAACGGAACUGACCAUAAGGAAGCUUCAUAAAUUAAAGACAUAAUCAAUAGACAGGCAACAUGGGGAGAUAAAAAGGUAUUGAUAGCUUGAAAGAUAAAAGGAAAUUUUAAUUACACUGUGAUUGAUAAAAUACGAUGAAAAGUAGUUCUUUGGCUGCUCCUUGACACUGUUCCCUGUUUGGAAGUUCUGAGG